ACUCAGCCUACACUGCCACUUUUAUCUGUGAAGCAAACUCGGCUCCACUAGAUCGACCUUCUGAAUAAUGAUACCCAACUUCACUUACAUGUUAGCAACCACUGACACACUUUAAUUGUUCAUCAAAAACUGCUAAGUAUGUUUCUUUUUGGAGCUAUGGACAAUUUCUAAUUUUCAAGGUGAUAUUGAAUUAUGGAAUUGUGUCCCCCCCUUCCCCAAUUAAAUAGGUGUGUCCCAAGGUCACCCAACCUCAUGCUCUAUAGGCCUAGAGAGGGCUGGGUACCUUGUUCAAUAAAUACCACUGAUUGAUGGAUUGUUCCAUGACUGCACGUGGAUUAACCCGAGUGGACGUCUAAUGCCAGAUGAAAGAUAGUGACCCUACUUUGAACCCUCAUUGGCAGCUCACCAAGGAAUUUCCAUUUCAUCCAUUCCGAUUUCUGCAAGUUAUAAUGAAGCACUUUCUGAAACUCAUUAAAGGGAAGAAAUCCUUGAUUUACCAUGGCUAGCAAUCUCUUCCUCCUUUGCUUUCUUUUCUCUUCCCUUCCUUCUUUUGCACCCCCUUCCCUUCCCUUUCCCUUUCUAUUUACACCCAGAAGCAUUUAUUGCUGGCUACUGAGCUAGGAGCUGGAGACAUUCCAAGAGAUGCGCUUUUUCCUCCAACCUGCUUUAGAGGAGCCCCCAGAGCUGUGUCCAGGCCAUGAAAACAUCUUCUGCUUAUAGUGACACCUUAACUGAUGUUGAUUUUCUGCUAGUUGGUGACAAGCAUGAAUCCUUCGUAGAAAAAUCGCAGGAAUCGAGCUGUGUGGCUGGCUCUGCCCCCAGAGACCUGCUGCGUGAGCACAAGACUGCUCUUUUAUCUGUGACCGAGGAAGCUAACAGGAUGAUUCGGAGGCCAGGGGAAAACAUGCUCUAGGGAUUUCUCCUUUCAGAUACUAAAACAGGAGGAAGAUUAAUGGCUGGCAAAGUCACACUGCAGAUUAUAAUUCUCUUCAGGCAGGUUAUAAAGGUGCCCUGACACCCUCUGUGAGGUGGGGGAGAUGAGGAAGGGGAGGGCCACACAGCUGCUUUCAAAGCCAUUUAUCAGCAAAGAAUGUAUCGCUCAGUAAAAUGACACCAUGUCUAAAAAUCCUUGCCUGGCAACCCUAUCUGUUUUAUGUUGGAGUGUGAAC
ensembl:lncRNA